CGUGGUGGUGCACGACGGCCGGAGGCGGGAAAAGAUCUUCGACUCCAGAGGGGGCGGAUGCGCGCACCAGUUCGGAGAGAAGGGGGACGCCGCGCAGGACGUUCGGUACGCGCUGGACGUCGCCGUCACCUUCGACUGCCACGUGGUUGUCACCGACGCGGGCGACCGCUCCGUCAAAGUGUUUGACUUUUUGGGCCAGGUCAGGCUUGUCAUUGGAGGCCAGUUCACCUUAAGAUCUUCGACUCCAGAGGGGGCGGAUGCGCGCACCAGUUCGGAGAGAAGGGGGACGCCGCGCAGGACGUUCGGUACGCGCUGGACGUCGCCGUCACCUUCGACUGCCACGUGGUUGUCACCGACGCGGGCGACCGCUCCGUCAAAGUGUUUGACUUUUUGGGCCAGGUCAGGCUUGUCAUUGGAGGCCAGUUCACCUUACCGUGGGGCGUGGAGGCCACGCCUCAGAACGGGGUCCUGGUCACUGAUGCUGAGGCCGGGUCCCUACACCUUGUGGAAGCGGACUUCCCCGAAGGGGUCCUGCGGAGAAACGAAAGGCUGUACACUCACCUGUGCGGCCCCCGAAGCGUGGCCGUGUCCUGGCUCAGCGGGGCCAUCGCCGUCCUGGAGCACCCCAUGUCCGCGGGGACCCAGCCCUGCAGCACCAGGGUGAAGGUGUUCAGCGCGAGCAUGCAGCUCCUCAGCCAGGUGGACACCUUCGGGCUGAGCCUCUUCUUUCCCUCCCAGAUAACUGCUUCCGCUGUGGCCUUUGAUCAGCAGGGGAAUGUGAUCGUGGCCGAUACCUCGGGACCAGCCAUCCUAUGCCUAGGAAAACCCGAGGAGUUCCCAGUGCUGAAGCCCAUGGUCACCCAAGGGCUUGCCCACCCCGUGGCACUGGCCUUCACCAAGGAGAAUUCAUUGCUCGUGCUAGACGCUGCGUCCCAUUCUGUAAAAGUCUACAAGGUCAACUCUGUUUCAUGGCCUCUGCUGGAAUGUCUCCUUUUGCAAAUAACACUCGGCUUUGCACACAUGCUGUCCCGGAGAACACAGCGACGUCCCCAAAUUUACCAACCGACCCUAGCCAGGGGGCCGUUCUCUCCUGCCAUUGCAUAAGUAAGCCCUAAUGGGUUCAGAGCCACAUUAUAAGUGCCAGGCAACUCCAUUCAGUUUCAUGGUUGUCGCAUGUGUGCCAGCAGUGCCCAUCCUUUCCUACAGAGAAGCCUUUGGAUACAGGGAGCACAAAGGACUUGAACACAGCUGACAUUUUCAGGAUACUUACUUCAAACAGCUGUUUAUUUGACCUUUGUAGCAUCUCUUGAAUUAGACAUGGUUUUAUUAAGAUGAUUUUCCAGGUUAAGGAGCUAAUAAAGGGAAUGACUUGCCCCAGAUGAUACAACUGAUUCCUGGUAUUUU
rnacentral:lncRNA from 1 species